rnacentral:lncRNA from 1 species
UAUUUUUAAAACUUUUUCUGAGUGGUUGCCAUUGAGUUUAAAUAUAUAUUUUCAAUUAAUUUCAGUUUAUUUUCAGAAGACACUCUACCACUUGGCAAUACUAUAUUACCACAGAUAGGACAAGUCCCUUGUAACUGAUUAUUCCAAAUUCCUCCCUCUUAUCUCUUAUAACAUUGGUGUCAGUCAUUUCAUUCAUCCAUGAGAUAAAAUCAUCGAAUACAUUGUUGUUAUUAUUUUGAACCAGCUGCUAUCUGCUAUGUCAAUUAAAAGUAAGAAAAAUAAAAGAUAUCAUUUUACCCUUAUUUAUUCCUUUUUUAAAGCUCUUCAUUUCUCUAUGUAGAUCCAGGUUUCUGAUCUAUAUCAUUUUCCUUCUUUCUGAAGAACCUCUUUUAAAGAAGCGUCUACCAGCACAAACAUCCUCAAUUUUCAUUUUUCCUGAUAAAGACUUCACUUUUGAAAAACAAUUUUUUCUAGGUGGGUGGGUUUUUCCUUUUAACAGUUUAAAUAUUUACUACAUUAUCUAUUUUGCUUGCAUGGUUGUAGAGAGAAGUCUGAUAUCAUUAUUUUUACUUCUCUCUGGGUAGGCUCACCCACUCUCCACCCCAACCCGGCUUCUUUCAAGAUUUUCUCUGUGUUUUUGAAUAUGGUUUGCCUAGAUUUCAUUUUUUAUUUUGUUUUGUAUUUAUCCUACUUGGUGUUCUCCGAGAUUCUUAGAUUGGAGGUUUGGUGUCUGUUAUUAGUUUUGGGAAAUUCUCAGUCAUUAUUGCUUCAAGUAUUUUUUUCUGUUCUUUUCUCUCCCUCCUUCUUGAAUUCUCAUUAUAAAUAUGUUACAACUUUUGUAAUUGUCCCACGUUUCUUUGAUACUCUAUUUCAUUCAUUUUCUUCUUUUUACAUUUCUUUUUUGAUGUUUCCAUUGACUUUUUUUUCAAGCUUACUGAGUUUUUGCUUGCCUCUAUUCAAUCUAUUGAUGAGCUUAUCAAAGGUAGACUUCAUUUCUGUCACUGUUUUUGAUUUCUAGCACUCUUUAGAUUUUUUUCUUAGUUUCUGUAUUUCUGCUUACAUUACCCAUCUGUUCUUACAUGCUAUCUGCUUUAUCCAUUAGAGUCCUUAUUAAUCAUAGUUGUUUUAAAUUCAUAAUCUGAUAAUUCUAAAAUCUCAACCAUAUCUGAGUCUGAUUCUGAUGCUUGCCCUGUCUCUUAAAUUUUGUUUAUCUUUUAGUAUGCCUUUCAAUUUUUGUUGAAAGUAGGACAUUAGACACUGGGUAAAAAUAAAUGAGGUAAAUAGGUCUUUAGUGUGGGUUUUUUUGGUCUGUCUGGCUAGGAAUUAGGCCGUGUUUACUAGUUUCCUUUGCUGUAGGUGCCAUAGGCUAAAAUAUCCUCAGGUGUCCGUGUUUCUAUCACCUCAGUUGUCUUCAUGUUUCCCUAGAAACCAAAGUAGUAAUGAGUACAGGAGGCUGCAGAGCAGAGAGUACAGGGAUGUCCUUUCUUAUAGUCAGUCACUGCUGGGAAGUGAUAGGCAGCUGUGACUUCACUUGCGCAUUGGAGAAGCAAAAAAGGUUGCCUUAUUGUCCUAGGUUGGUGGCAGGCUUGCUUUUGCUCCCACUUGGGAGUGUUCUUGGUGAGGGUGGAGUGGUCUCUCAGCAACAGGGAGCUAGAUGAAGGAGUCUUAAGAAGCUGAUGUUCAGGAGUGGCCACAGGACCCAGUAAACUCACUUUUACUUCUGGUGUCUGUGGUGUUGAAAAGGCAUUUGAGUUUUCAAUGACAUAUAGGAGGUCAAUGUUCUCUUGUUCCACCAUCAUGAACUGACUCCAAUACUCCAGGGGCAAAGAAAGCAGGUGCUCGAUCACCUUGGGUUGAUGCUUGAUGUCCUGUAACAUUGUCACUGGGUCCGGAUGGUGCACAGCAUGGGCUACUAUUGUAGGGCCAAAGACUUUAACCAGAUUGGCAACAUCUGGUUCCCUAGAAAUUUCUUAAGUAAGGCCUGAGACGUGAACAUUUUCAGUUGUGCUCCCCUGUUAAUAUACAAGAGCCCUAUUGCUGUGGUGGUAAGGUUGGGUGAGGGGCAGCACUGUCCUGUCCUGUCCUGUAAUUAGGACUCAGUUUUUUACUGAGCCUGUGCCCUUGGGCUGUAACUUUGCAGGUACCUUCCCUGCUUAGGUGAAACAGGAAGGCUAGAGUGGGCUGAAAUUGAGCCUUUCCCUUCUUCGAGGUUGGGUAGGCACUGGCAGAAUAUUUUCCCUUGAGGGUAGGUCUUGCUGAGAACAGAAAGCUCUGGUGUUUUUCGAAAGAGCUGCUCUCUCACUCUCCACCCACUCACACAUUGGAAGCUAUAGGCGAUUUUUCUCUGAUCUUCUCUGUGAGAACCUGGUAGGGCUCCUGAAGGUAGAACUCCGAAAAGUGUGGGGACCUCCUAGGAAGGCCCCACUGGGAGAUUUUAAUUCUCAAACUUGUCCAAACUGAGUCUCCAGCAAUUCAUAAAUUACAGCUUUAGAUUUCAAUCCCAGUACUAGUUCCAGCAGAGAUUUCUGCUCCAGGGAAUUGGAUUUCUGUGUCUGCUUAUCUGUCUCUCCAGUUUUUGGGGGGUGUCCAUUUGUCUCAAGACCUCAAUUCUCUCAUGGACCUAAGAAGAGCUGUUGAUUUUUAAUUUAUUCAGCUUUCUAUUUGUUUUUAGAAUGCAGUAGUGACUUCUGAACUCCUAUAUGCUGGCCAAAAAAAGAAAAUCAGUUUUAUUUUGAUUUUUGUUGAAUGAACAUUCUUCUUUAAAAGUAAUCUAAAGAUCAUGUCUACAGAAGCUGAGUGAUCAUAGUUCCUGCUCUAUUAGCCAUUCAUCUGGAGAAACAAAUGAGGAAUAUAAAGAUUCUAUUUGCUGGAACCAGCUAAGGCAACUUUCCUAUAAAGGCCCCUUUGAUGAUACAAACUUCUUCUUCCUCAAAGUUUAUCCCUAGAUCAGGUAUCUUUUCUUUUAAACUGUCUUUUUUUUUAACUUUGGAAAACUUGAGGAUUUUCAGUCUAUGUUUGAUAAUUUUUGUUUAUGUGUUCAAAUUAAAGCCAGGGGAAUGAGUAACACUAGCCUGUAGAGACUGGUAGGAUAUUGGCAGUCUUCUAAUCAAUUUCACUUUGCAGAUGAGGAUAUAGAAGACACAGGGAUCUGAAGAAUCUAGGCAUGUUCAAGGUCAGAUAAGUUAGAAAUAGACUGCCCCAUUCAUAGGCAUGACAUCAUUAGUAUGUUGGGAUUUGUGUAUGAGUGGUAAUAGGGCAUCUGCUGUGGACAAAUUAUUUAGAAUCUCUAGAUUGUUUAAAAUAGAUUGCAUUUUAAAAAAUUAUCACUAGACAAAUGGAGACUUGACAGGUUUUCAUAAAUUACAUAGUAAUAAGUGAUAUUAUAUAUAACAUGAUAACUAUGGCCAAAUAGUUAUUCGUUAAUAUAUUCUUUUUUCUACAUUUACUGUUUUUCUCUGCUCACAUUCAGUCUUUACAUUCACUUAUUCCCUGCUUCCUGUUAACCCUAAAAAUCCUUUACUAUUCAACAGUGUAGGAGACGAAGAAUAUAUUUCCCUUACCCAUCGUAGGUUUAUGGCUGAGGCCCCUAUAACAAAAGACAGAAUAAGGAGGAAAAAGCAUACGAACUUAUUUAAUACACCUUUUAUGUGACAUGGGAGCCUUCAUAAGUAAAUGAAGACCCAAAGAAAUAGAUAAACAUGUUUAUCUUUUAUGCUAGGUUUGAUGAAGAAGUAAAUAGUCAUAAAGAUUGGAUAUAAAGUGUGAUCUAAUAGUAAUAAACCAGAAGAAACAUAGCAAGCCUGUUGGUUCAGUUUUCUUUCUUUGCCCCUGUGCCUUCAGAUAAGAGGAUAUUCCUUUCUCACCGGAGGGUUUUAUGACCUGUUUCAGGACAGAAGGGCAAGAGAAGGUGAGAGUGACUUUCCUGCUUCUGCUGUUUUCGCAAAUGCCAAGGUGUCAUAUUUGGGGGUAGCAUGUCCUCAACUCCUAUCCACAGUUUUGAUUUUUGAUGCAGAGGCUGGGACUGACUGUGCAUGAAUAUUGAAUAGACUUAGGAUUCGUGGAACAUCAGAGGACACAGAUGUAGAUGCAAGCUCAUUUGAACUAUGUCUAGAAGGUCUGCUACUUCAAACAGAUGCGGUUUUGAGACCAGCAAUUUAAUGAGAGACAAGGAGAGUCUAGGAAUAAAGUGGAUUUAGUUGGGAUUGAGAUUGGAAAAGAGCACAAUUAAAACUAGAGGACUCUCAUGGGAACAAGUAGUCCUCUUGGGUGUAUGCAUGUGUACGUGAAUCUGAUUGGAGGUGGAAGAAUGGCAUGUAGGAGAGAAAAACCAGUGUUCUGAGGCAGCAGGUGUUCUGUAAGACAGACCAGGAAGAGGUAGUAAGGCAGCCAGAAAGCUACCAUGGUACACCAGAGAAGCCAAAUUAUUCUUGAGGUACCCACUGAGCUUGUCAGCUGCAAUGGCUAAGAGGUAAGUUGUACUUAUGAGUUUUAAGGAGAAAUGCUAGCUCUUUUAACUGGAAUGGCCACAGGUCAUUUGUUCUUGUGGCAGAUGGCUGGUCUGCUGUGACUCUGAAGGUAAUUUUACCUAUUAACAGAAUCUGAAAGACAAAACUUGCUUUCAGUGAUGUCAUAAAUGCUCUUCACUUUCAUCUAUUUCAGUGGCUGAUAAUGUUCCUUACUUCUGUAGCUGAGAUUUCCCAACUUAAUUUGGGUUCUCAUCAGGGUAGAAUUCCAUCCAAGUCAAUCGCAGCAUCUGCACCCACAGCUCUGAGAAGGGAAAGAUGUGCUUGGUGGUGGCCCCAAGUUUGCAGUAUCGGAUUGGACUCAUUAGAAUUACAAGGAAAUGAAAUAAAGAAAGGUAAAACUGGAUUUCAAAGAGUCUAAGUGUGGCUGCUGUCGUGCGGAGGUGGUGACAUGCAGACAUGCAAGCUUGGAAGCUAUGCAAGAAACAGAGCUGUGUGUCUGAAUAUCACCAUGGUUACGGUCUAUAAAAAAUAAUGAGGAGAGAAAAAUAAGAGCACUGGAGUUUGAAGGCUUGUUUUCUAAAAUUGGUUUUUAUCUAUUUGUCUGAUAAAAAUGAAAAGAUCCUGUGGUUUGCAUUAUCUUGACUAAAUCAAAAGCCAAAACCAAAUUAUAAAUUUAUCCUUAAGUGCUCACUGCUAAACAUUCAAGAAUGUUUGUGCUGUCUUUCCCUCCCCUUGACAUCAUGAAUCUUAGGUUUAAUGAAUCAUUGUGAGAUAUCAAGUCAUCCUCUAAUCUGAUGCUGAGCUACAAUCAAAAUUCAGUGAUGACUUUCUAUCUUUCACCCACUACUUCUUAGGCUUGUUGUCACUGAUGCAGUGACAUCGUUCUUGAAUUUCAAUGCUUCUUGCAUCCAGCUGUGGCCAUUGAUUCACUCAUUGAAUUUGAUGGUGUUAAGCACAAUAAGAAAGAUGACUUAAUGGGCCUUAAAUGUUCACUCUUAUUGAAACCAUUCUGCAAUUUUCAUUACCAAGAGAAGUCCCUGCUGCAAUGUUAUUCUGUUGACUUCCCAAAUGCUUCUGGUAAGCAAAGAUACAGGGAAAUGCGGUCCACACCAGCUGUUUCAAUCUAAUUGAGAAAGAAACUAAGUGCUGAUAUUUAGUAAAAGUCUACAAAAAUGCUCUUUUUUUCUUAAUGACGAAAGGACAAAAGGCAUUGCAUCUUCACAAUUAAAGGAAAGCAUGAACAUCGGCGGUUUUCCAAAAUUAGCAUUCUUAGACAAUAUGAAGACCCGUAUUUUUAGAUGAUUCCUUAAUAUUAGAAAAUAUAUACUGAAAGGGAUCAGAGUAUGCCACCCCAAAAUAUAGCACUUUGGCAUAAGGAUUAUUUUGAGCCGAAGGCAACUGAGAAACAGUAAACAUUGAAAAGACUUCUACCCUCCUGUAUUUGGCUAAAAUCAGGUCAUAAAUUUCCCUUCGUGAAGGUGCCCCACCUUCUCCCUUCUCUUGUGCCAGGAAAGGGAGAAUGGUUUGUAAUCACCAGAGAUGAUCUCCAGGGGUGUCCAAUCUUUUGGCUUCCCUGGGCCACAGUGGAAGAAGAAGAAUUGUCUUGGGCCACACAUA